GUUUCCUUGCUGAUGCCUCUCACAGGGAUGAGACUGCUCUUUCAGACAGCUGUAUGACUGCAGCCUCAGGAGCUCCUUCUCUUCACCACUUUAAAGGGUGUGGGACAUGUCUUGUAGCUCUCAGGAAAUGAUAAGCUACAGUGGAAUUAUUCAAGAUGUGGAGUAAUCUUUAAGCAGAAAAUACACUGGCAGGUUGGUUUUGCUUUUUUUUU